rnacentral:rRNA from 1 species
UACGUAGGGAGCAAGCGUUGUCCGGAAUUACUGGGCGUAAAGGGCGCGUAGGUGGGUAUUUAAGUCAGAUGUGAAAACUAUGGGCUCAACCCGUAGACUGCAUUUGAAACUGGGUAUCUUGAGGGCAGGAGAGGAAAGUGGAAUUCCUAGUGUAGCGGUGAAAUGCGUAGAUAUUAGGAGGAACACCAGUGGCGAAGGCGACUUUCUGGACUGUACCUGACACUGAGGCG